AUUGAACGCUGGCGGCAGGCCUAACACAUGCAAGUCGAGCGGAUGAGAGGAGCUUGCUCCUCGAUUCAGCGGCGGACGGGUGAGUAAUGCCUAGGAAUCUGCCCAGUAGUGGGGGACAACGUUUCGAAAGGAACGCUAAUACCGCAUACGUCCUACGGGAGAAAGUGGGGGAUCUUCGGACCUCACGCUAGUGGAUGAGCCUAGGUCGGAUUAGCUAGUUGGUAGGGUAAAGGCCUACCAAGGCGACGAUCCGUAACUGGUCUGAGAGGAUGAUCAGUCACACUGGAACUUAGACACGGUCCAGACUCCUACGGGAGGCAGCAGUGGGGAAUAUUGGACAAUGGGCGCAAGCCUGAUCCAGCCAUGCCGCGUGUGUGAAGAAGGCCCUCGGGUCGUAAAGCACUUUAAGUUGGGAGGAAGGGCUUACAGCGAAUACCUGUGAGUUUUGACGUUACCGACAGAAUAAGCACCGGCUAACUUCGUGCCAGCAGCCGCGGUAA
rnacentral:rRNA from 1 species